rnacentral:rRNA from 1 species
AACUUACCAGGUCAAGACAUGGGCGUGAUUGACAGGCUAAUGACUUUUCUCGAUUCCAUGGAUGGUGGUGCAUGGUCGCACUUAGUUGGUGCAGUGAUUUGUCAGGUUUAUUCCGGUAACGAACGAGACCUCGGCCUUGUAAAUAGCUAUGCUGCUUACAGGGACAUUGGCGGCUACGCCAAGGAAGCUCGAGGCAAUUGCAGAUCUGGAAUGCCCUUAGAUGUCCUGGGUCGCACGCGUGCUACAAUGACGCCACGAACGAGCUUGCGUGAUGAAAGUUACGCAUAAUCAGCAGUCGGCGUCUUAAGGGAUAGUCUCUUGUAACUGUGGGACUCCAACUAGGAAUGUCUCGUAAGCACAAGUCAACAUCUUGUGUUGAUUACGUCCCUGCUCUUUGUACACACCGCCCGUCGCUCCUACCGAUCGAGUGUUUAGGUGAAUUUGAUGGACGUAAGGAAGUCAAAUAAACCUGAGCACUAGAGAAGAGAAGUCGAGCAUUC